CCUACGGGUGGCAGCAGUGGGGAAUAUUGCACAAUGGGGGGAACCCUGAUGCAGCGACGCCGCGUGAGUGAAGAAGUAUUUAGGUAUGUAAAGCUCUAUCAGCAGGGAAGAAGAUGACGGUACCUGACUUAGAAGCCCCGGCUAACUACGUGCCAGCAGCCGCGGUAAUACGUAGGGGGCAAGCGUUAUCCGGAUUUACUGGGUGUAAAGGGAGCGUAGACGGCAGGGCAGGUCUGGAGUGAAAGCCCGGGGCCCAACCCCGGGACUGCUUUGGAAACGGCCAUGCUAGAGUGCAGGAGAGGUAAGCGGAAUUCCUAGUGUAGCGGUGAAAUGCGUAGAUAUUAGGAGGAACACCAGUGGCGAAGGCGGCUUACUGGACAGUAACUGACGUUGAGGCUCGAAAGCGUGGGGAGCAAACAGGAUUAGAUACCCCUGUAGUC
rnacentral:rRNA from 1 species